rnacentral:rRNA from 1 species
AUUGAACGCUGGCGGCAUGCUUUACACAUGCAAGUCGAACGGUAACAGGCCUUCGGGUGCUGACGAGUGGCGAACGGGUGAGUAAUGCAUCGGAACGUACCCAGAGGUGGGGGAUAACGCAGCGAAAGCUGUGCUAAUACCGCAUGUGAUCUGAGGAUGAAAGCGGGGGACCGAGCAGCAAUGUUUGGCCUCGCGCCUUUGGAGCGGCCGAUGUCGGAUUAGCUAGUUGGUGGGGUAAAGGCCUACCAAGGCGACGAUCCGUAGCUGGUCUGAGAGGACGACCAGCCACACUGGGACUGAGACACGGCCCAGACUCCUACGGGAGGCAGCAGUGGGGAAUUUUGGACAACGGGCGCAAGCCUGAUCCAGCAAUGCCGCGUGCGGGAAGAAGGCCUUCGGGUUGUAAACCGCUUUUGGCAGGAACGAAACGGUGUCCGCUAAUACCGGGCGCUAAUGACGGUACCUGCAGAAUAAGCACCGGCUAACUACGUG